rfam:Parcubacteria group bacterium RIFCSPLOWO2_02_FTLL_40_12 rifcsplowo2_02_scaffold_5668, whole genome shotgun sequence.
GCCCGUGUAGCUUAGUGGCAAAGCAACGGUUUCGUAAACCGUGGACGGAGGUCCGAUUCCUCCCAUGGGCU